AAUCAACGCUGGCGGCGUGCCUAACACAUGCAAGUCGAACGCGAAAGCCCCUUCGGGGGUAAGUAGAGUGGCGUCCGGGUGAGUAACACGUGGGUAAUCUACCUUCGGGUGGGGAAUAACUCAGGGAAACUUGAGCUAAUACCGCAUAAUGCAGCGGCACCUAAUGGUGAUUAGUUGUUAAAGCGGGGGAUCGCAAGACCUCGCGCCUGAAGAGGAGCCUGCGGCAGAUUAGCUAGNGGUGAGGUAAUGGCUCACCAAGGCUUCGAUCUGUAGCUGGUCUGAGAGGACGGCCAGCCACACUGGCACUGACACACGGGCCAGACUCCUACGGGAGGCAGCAGUGGGGAAUUUUGGGCAA
rnacentral:rRNA from 1 species